rnacentral:rRNA from 1 species
AACGAACGCUGGCGGCAGGCUUAACACAUGCAAGUCGAGCGCCCCGCAAGGGGAGCGGCAGACGGGUGAGUAACGCGUGGGAAUCUACCCAUCUCUACAGAAUAACGCAUGGAAACGUGUGCUAAUACCGUAUACGUCCUUCGGGAGAAAGAUUUAUCGGAGAUGGAUGAGCCCGCGUUGGAUUAGCUAGUUGGUGGGGUAAAGGCCUACCAAGGCGACGAUCUAUAGCUGGUCUGAGAGGAUGAUCAGCCACACUGGGACUGAGACACGGCCCAGACUCCUACGGGAGGCAGCAGUGGGGAAUAUUGGACAACGGGCGCAAGCCUGAUCCAGCCAUGCCGCGUGAGUGAUGUAGGCCCUAGGGUUGUAAAGCUCUUUCACCGGUGAAGAUAAUGACGGUAACCGGAGAAGAAGCCCCGGCUAACUUCGUGCCAGCCGCCGCAGUAACAC